UUCAGUUAGCUUUGAGCACAAAUGUCCUUCAGAGGGAGACUUUUUACUCUGAUACUCUGAGUCCAUGUCAGAGCCUGAACUCUGUUACUGUACUGGAGGAAACAAGCUGGAUCAGAACUUCUGCUUUUACACGAGAACCUGAACGUCUCCUGGAGGACAGGCUGUAAGGACUGUGAUCCAGAGUUGCUGUGAGUUUGUCCUGUUGUGAUGAAGAUCAGCUCCUCUACACUCGUUCUUCUCCUUUAAUCUUCAGGUCAGUUUACAUCAGACAAGGUCAGGUGCAUUCUGGGAAAUGUGUGUGAUGUUUUGAUCUUCCGCUGUCGUGGUUACAAUGACUCGAUCAGCUGUUCACCCUAACGCUAACCCAGAGAGAGAGAAAGAGACAGGGAGAAAGAGAGGACAACAAAGGAGAAAAUAGUGAAAAAAUGAAAACAAGUGUUGAUGGAGGAGGGGAGCCGCUGCUGCCACGGCAACCAGAGCUCCCUGCUCUCAAUCAGGUCCUCAGGGAGACCCCCGAGCUCCAAGUGUCUGUGUGAAGUCUUGCCUGGAUACAGAAACAGAAUCACAUGUUAUCCAGCGACAGAGGAAGAGACUCUGAUUACUGUGACAUUUCCUGCAGUUUCACGAGGUUUUCUAACUCUAAAUGAGUGUUACUGGAGCUCUUUUUACACCGAGCGAAGCAGCUGCACCUUAAAGAUGAACCGCUGUGUGAUUCACACAGAAAGCUGCGCUGCGGCUCCUAAAGAGGUGUGAUGGUGACGUCAUGAUGACGACGUCGGUGUGUUUUCAAGGUGUUUCCCAGAGGCUGUUUUCUGGGGAAAGUUCACCGAAGUCUCAGUCUGGAGCGCUGACUCGACACGUGACGCCGGCUUAUCCACUCACGCUGGAUCAGUUUGCCAAUAAUACGGCCCUGAUACUACCUCCAGAGGCAGAUCAGCACCGGAAUGAAAUUUCACCCCUUGCCGCCUCCGGGAGAUUCACACUGAAAUGGAGGCGGAUACUUGGCGCACUAACCCCGCAUGCAUGUAGCAGCGAGCAUGAAUGGGGAUACUGUCUAAACCUAAGCUGCUGGCUAGCCAACAUGUCCGCUGUGUGGAAAUAUUCCACACUGGAAACACCUCAAAGCAAGACAGCAAAAUGCAAUGUUUGCAAAGCCGUUACUCAGAGAGGCGGAAGCUCCCUCACGACGUACAACACCAAUAACGCAAUUAAACAUUUAAAUGGCAAACCGGAUGUGAGAUGUGGCAAAACUGCUUUUUUCUGUGGAAAAAGGAAAGUGAGGUUGUUCCUACAAGCUCCGGGGCUGUGCUAACAACUUUGAAGGCUGCACACCUAAACAACUGGCUCGGUGGACUCACCUUUCUCUGCUGAUCAGCUGUUAGCCUCGCCGAUCAGCUGUUAGCCUAGCAAUGCUAACUUUCAAACCGAUGUACUCAAUACUCUGUGGGCUGUCCAUCAUUGUUCCUCCACCACAACCUCAGUGUUGUUCACCGCCUGGCUCCGUUGUUGCUCUCCUCUGCUGCUGUGUUCUCCCCCAGCUCGCGGCGAUGUUGGAUGGUCACUGCGCCGCUGUUGCUGGUGGCGUCUUCAGGUGUUCAACACAGGAGCUCCUGGACCUCUGCUGUCACUUCACCCCAAGCUUCACCGCUGGGAUUGAAUCUCUCGGUCUCCUGCUUUGCCGCUGCUGUGUGCAUGGAGCCCCCAGACACAAGUUUAUUUUUUAGGACGGUGCUAUUCCCUCCGUGCGAACUGACAGGUGAUACAUUUAUUCUUUGUUUUGUUUGUUCCUCUUUGCCAACUGUCCCUGGGUAGCCUGAAAGGUGCUAUAUACAUUUUUCAACUAUAUAAAAUAUUACUAUUAUUAUUAUUAUCAAAAAAUCACCACGUGAAAGAGCACGAGGAAUUUUUAGCCAGGGGACAGAAGGACAAAAGAAGCCGCCAGGAAUCACUUCUGGAGUCAUUCCAAAAGCAAGGUGAACUCCCAGCAGACAAUGUGAAAGCUAAAGGGAUUACCAAGAAGUUGCUCAACUUGACCAGUCGUUAUUGAACACUUGCAGCCACGGUAUAGUUUACCAGGCAGGAGAUACUUAUCAGAGACUGCACUACCUGAACAACAAAGUGUCAACCAAGUUAGCCGAGAAGUUAAAAGGAGUUCCAGCUUUACUACAGAUAUUUAGACUUCAGAUGUCUGCCCAAUGUCAUACUUGCCUGAAAAGGGGAGUUUAUUUCAGCCUCAAAGUCAACAAUAAUGAUAAUAAUAAUAUUAAAGCAAACAGAGUUCUGGUAUUGGAAUAGUAUUUGUAUUCGGCAGAUAUCCAAAUUCAGGUAUCAGGAUCGGAUCGGAAGUGAAAAUAUGUGGAUCGGUGCAGCCCUAGUUGAGGUCAGGUGUGCAGGUGCAGGGCUCACAGAGGAUGAAGUUGACCAAGAUGUCCUCAUUCUGGUCUGCAGAUGACCAGAGACCACAAACCACCAACACCUGAUGAGGACCAGCUGCUGAAAUACCCAGGAUGCACUGCAGCACGAUGAUGUCAAUUUCAACAGACACAUUUAAACCUGCAGCAGUUCUCAACAGGUUCAGAUACUGAAGGUGACAACACACACUGUUACAAUAUGUGUGUGUGUGUGUGUGUCACAGACAGAUGGUGAAUGAGUGUGUGUGCUCUUGUGAUGAUGUUCAAGAACAUGUUUGUGCUGAUGCAGGAAAACAUGACGCACACACACACCGAGCUUGUGUGUGUGUUACUAAUGCAUGUUUUCUGACAUUAGACUCUCUCU